GGGCCCGCACAAGCGGUGGAGCAUGUGGUUUAAUUCGAAGCAACGCGCAGAACCUUACCCAGGCUUGACAUCCUCAGAACCUCUUGGAAACAAGAGGGUGCCCUCUCACGAGGGAAUUGAGUGACAGGUGCUGCAUGGCUGUCGUCAGCUCGUGCUGUGAGGUGUUCGGUUAAGUCCGGCAACGAGCGCAACCCCUGUCGCUAGUUACCAGCAUUUAGUUGGGGACUCUAGCGAGACUGCCGGUGAUAAACCGGAGGAAGGUGGGGACGACGUCAAGUCCUCAUGGCCCUUAUGUCUGGGGCUACACACGUGCUACAAUGGCAUCUACAGAAGGCAGCGAAGUCGCAAGGCG
rnacentral:rRNA from 1 species